rnacentral:lncRNA from 1 species
UAUACAUUGAAACAUGAUCUAUAAAAUGGUUAUUCAUAUGGUACUUGAUCUUUAUAUUUUAAAACACGAUAUUGGAUCUUAAUUAUUGAUGAUAAAAAAAUUUUAUCGCUAAUAUUUUAUUAUUUAUGAUGAAACAACUUCAUCAUUAAUAAUUAAAAAUUAUAAAUUUAAAAAAAUAGCUUCCGAUACUGAAAAAGAAUCAUUCUCCCAGAUCCAAACUUUGUUGGAUGAUGCAAUAAAAUUCUUCACCCAUAACUGAAUCAACCAUCUAUAAGAUCUAGGAGCAAACCGCCUUAGAAAAUUAAAUGCAAGAAAUUUGAUUCAGAAAAAAAUGUCAACUUUUAACUGUAUAAAGAAUAAAACUUUAUCAACUGUUCGAUGGACUAAAAUAUGUCAUUUACUUCUAAACUAUGUGCAGAAGGCCUUU